CAAGCCCCUCGUCAAGAUACUGCAAAGCACAACCCUACUGGGCAACGAUCGACAGAUAAGCGGAAGCUGUGAAACGAAGAGGAGGAAUAACUGGUCGACGCAAAAAAGACAGAAGAAAAAGAUCGCGCUACGAGUGCACUGAAAUUUAUCACGAUUGAAUUGUUUAUUUGCUAUUUGCUAUUUAUUGAUUUAAAAGAUUUAUUGCCGCUAUACGCUGUACUGCGUAUUAUUGAAUUUUUGAAGAAUAUUGAAAUUCUGGUACUAGGAAAGUAGGUUAGAAUCUGGUUGAUGAACGAGAACUUGGAUAGUAGGACGCCACUAAACGAGAUUUAUAACGACCCUAAUUAAGCGUUACAAUCACGGAAUUUUCCUGCACGUUGUAGAAACAACAACAUUUAAAAAUGGAAAUUUAUGAAACGCAACCCUUUUGUAUUUUUUGCUGCUACCCAAGGAUUUGGACAAUAUGAAAAAAAGGAUUACAUCUCCCCAGGCCUUGGUGAAGUCUCUCCGCAGUUGACCAGAAAAGCGUUCGCAGAAAAACUUUUAUAACUUUUGCAAAAAUAAUUUAAAAAUUCUGCAAGAAAAAUCAUGACCACGCACAAUACCUUAGUGCAUCAUAUCUCAAUGAGUUUUGAGGGAAUGAAAACUUUUUAGAGAGUUAUACAGGUUAAGCCAAAAACCUGGUCAAGUCUCCUCAUGUUCCCCUAUAUGUGAAAGUCGGUUACAUCCCUGUACGCCAAUUAUUGCAAAAUUAAAUUUAUUUAAAUAAUAUA